rnacentral:lncRNA from 10 species
ACUUCCAGGGACAUGAGACUGGUGGCCAGGACACCAGUGAGAAGGUCAACAUAGGGACCCAGGCAGGAUGCAAAGGAAUGAGCUGGGGCAAUGGUCAGGGGGACAUCUGGAGGAGACAGGAUGGGCAAAAGGGCAAGACCCUGUAUGCCCAAGAAGAAUCUUGCUACUCUCCAUCACAAGGCAAAGUCUAUCUUCCUUUCUUUUGAAUCUGGGAAGACACUUGUGACUGCCUCAAUGAAUAGGAAGAAUACAGUGGAAGUGAUGCUGCGUGGCUGCUAAGAACAGGCUGGAAAAGGCCAUGCAGCCUCUGUUCGUCUCCCUCUUGGAACACUUGUCUUUGGAACCCUGAGUUGCCAAGUAGGACAUCCAGGGCUGCCGUGCUGUGGGGAAGCCCAAAACUAGCCCACACAGAGAGACCACAUGAAAAAACACUGACAUUGCAUGAAGAGAGGGUGAUGUGCUCCAGCUGCCUAAGGCUUCAUCUCCUGCCUGUUCCAGCUCCAGAAAACCUGAAGGCAACA